AGCAGCCGCGGUAAUUCCAGCUCCAAUAGCGUAUAUUAAAGUUGUUGCAGUUAAAAAGCUCGUAGUUGAAUUUCGGGAUCAAUAUGUCGGUCGUGCCUCUGGUACGUACUGGUAUCAUUGAUUUCUCCCUUCUGACGAACCAUGAUUUCAUUUAUUUGGUGUCAUGGGGAGUUAGGACUGUUACUUUGAAAAAAUUAGAGUGUUUAAAGCAGGCUAACGCUUGAAUACAUUAGCAUGGAAUAAUGAAAUAGGACGUUUGAUCCUAUUUUGUUGGUUUCUAGGAUUGACGUAAUGAUUAAUAGGGAUAGUUGGGGGCAUUAGUAUUCAAUUGUCAGAGGUGAAAUUCUUGGAUUUAUUGAAGACUGACUACUGCGAAAGCAUUUGCCAAGGAUGUUUUCAUUAAUCAAGAACGAAAGUUAGGGGAUCGAAGACGAUCAGAUACCGUCGUAGUCUUAACCAUAAACUAUGCCGACUAGGGAUCGGAUGAUGUUAAUUUUUUAAUGACUCA
rnacentral:rRNA from 1 species